GUGUCUAAUCGUUGCCACGGAGACAAAGAUGUAGCUGUCAUAGUUUCUACUGAAUAUUCAGUAAAUAUUUCCUUAUAUUCUUGGCAAUAAAAAUAACUGGAAGUUAUACUAUACUAUAGGCGACUGCAGUUUGAUCAGAGAGCGGCUUUGGUUUGACCACUUUUGAAAAUAGAGUAGCAACGGCACUUGUUUACGACAGCGACACGCUUUACGGCAUCACCAUAGCAAAAUGGCGUCCGGCAGUGGGUCCAAGAAUGAUUUUCGUCGCAAAUGGGACAAAGAUGAAUAUGAACAGCUGGCCCAGAAACGACUCACAGAAGAGAGAGACAAAAAAGAUGGCAAGCCUGUGCCCCCCGUCAAGCGGGAGCUUCUCCGCCACAGAGAUUAUAAAGUGGAUCUGGAGUCAAAACUGGGAAAGACUAUUGUCAUCACAAAGACCACACCACAGGCUGAGAUGGGAGGAUACUACUGCAAUGUCUGUGAUUGUGUAGUAAAAGAUUCCAUAAAUUUCUUGGAUCAUAUCAAUGGCAAAAAACAUCAAAGAAACCUGGGAAUGUCCAUGCGAGUAGAACGCUCUUCAUUGGACCAAGUUAAAAAACGUUUUGAAGUAAACAAGAAAAAGCUGGAGGAAAAGCAGAAGGAGUACGAUUUUGAGGAACGAAUGAAGGAGUUGCGAGAGGAGGAGGAGAAAGCAAAAGCCUACAGAAAAGAAAAGCAAAAGGAAAAGAAAAGAAAGGCUGAAGAAGAUCUCAACUUUGAAGAUGAUGAUGAAAUGGCUGCUGUGAUGGGAUUCUCAGGUUUUGGAUCCUCCAAAAAAGGCCACUGAUCACUCAUUUUAAAAGUUUGCUCACCAAGGCCUUCUCUGAAUAGGUAUCCCUGAACUGUAUGAAAAUUUUCAAGAACUUCAUUAUUGUUUUACAGGACCGCACAGCUUUUUAUCACACAUUCUGUUAAAUACUUCUGAUUCAAUACACGUGGUUGGUUAACCAGUUUUCGGCCCUUGAUCAUAGAACAUCAGCAUAACUCCAUCAAUCUAAAUUGAUCUCCUUGUUAUAAUGAAGUUUUUGUUAUAAGUUCAUUGUGUAAAUAGGGCUGCAUAUACAUAAAUGUUUUUUGACUUGUGUCUGAAAUUACCCUCUUAUACCUUCCACACAAUGCAACAGAAAAGGUUAAAAUUAAAACAACAUGACCUCUUUUGAAGACAAGACUUGAUGCUUCUAUUCCCCAGUGUCUUUGUAGAUGUGGGGCAGACAAGGGAAUGGAAAACCUGUUAAAGUUGUGUAAUUAUAGAUUUUUUUUUAUUAUAAGGGGACUGAUAGAUUGUAAUUUGUGGUUAUUUUACAUUAAAAAUAUUGUCUAACAACCUUCUCAGAGUUUUCUAGUGUAUUAAAGUACAAUAAAAUACUGACGUAAAGAUUUCUUUAUACAUUUACAUUUAGUCAUUUAGCAGAUGCUUUUAUCCAAAGCGAUUUACAAAUGAGGACAAUAGAAGCGAUCAAGAUCAACAAAAGAGCAAUAAUAUGUAAGUGCUGUGACAAGUCUAAGUUAGUCUAAUGUAGUACCUAUAACAAGGUGUUAUAAGGUAAAAAGAAAACAAGUAGAUGGAAUAGAAAAAUAAUAGAGAAUGUGUGUGGUAGAGGGUCAAUUUAAAAAAGGGGUUAAUUUUAAAUAAAGUCGAAAGAAUAGAGAAUGCUAUUGUUAAAGGGUUUUUUUUAAUAAAUAAAAAGAAAACCAGGUUAAAAGAAUAGAGAACGCUAGUAUUAGAGGGUUAGUUUUUUUUUUAAUAAAAAAAAAAAAGUCAAAAGAAUGGACCCUCUAACAAUAGCAUUCUCUAUUUUUUAUAUGAAUAAAACAAAUAGAGAACACUAGUAUUAAAGGGUUAAUUUUUUAAUAAAUAAAAAGGAAAAAAGUCAAAAGAACAGAAAAAGAAUAGUGAACACUAGUGUUAGAGAUUAAUUAUUUUUAAAUAAAAAGAAAACAAGCCGAAAGAAUAGAAAAAGAAUAGAAAACACUAGUGUUAUAGGGUUAGUUUAAAAAAAAAAAAAAAAUUCAAAUAAAGUCAAAAGAAUAGACCCUCUAACAAUAGCAUUCUCUCUCUUUUUUUAAUAUAUGAAAAGAAAAUUAGAAUAGAGAAUGCUAGUAUUAGAGGGUUAUUUUUUUAAUAAAUAAAAAGAAUAGUGAACACUAGUGUUGAAAGGGUUAAUUUUUUGAAAUAAAUAAAAAGCAAACAAAUCGAAAGAAUAGGAAAAAGAAUAGAAUAUGUUAGUGUUAGAGGGUUGAUUUUUUUUUUUUUUUUUUUUUUUUUUAAAUAAAUAACAAGAAUAGUGAACACCAGUGUUAAUUUUUUUUAAAGAAGAAAACAAGCCGAAUAAAUAGAAAAGGAAUAACACUCAUGUUAAAGGGUUAAUUUAUUUAAAUAAAUAAAAAGCCAAAAAGUCGAAAGAAUAGGAAAAAGAAAAGAAAACGCUGGUGUUAGUUUUUUUUUUUUUUUAAUAAAAAGAAGUCAAAAGAAUAGAGAACACUAAUGUCAGAGGGUCUAUUUAAAAAAAAAAAAAAAAAAAAAAAAAAACAAGAAUAGAGAAUGCUAGUAUUAGAGGGUUAUUUUUUAAUAAAUAAGAAUAGUGAACACUAAAAUGUUUUUUUUUUUUUUAAGAAGGAAAAAAAGCAGAAAGAAUAGAAAACACUCACGUAAAGGGUUAAUUUUUUAAAAUAAAUUAAAAUCAAACAAGUCAAAAGGAUAAAAAAAAGCUAGUGUUAAACGGUUCAUUUUUUUCUAAGAAAUAAAAAUAAAACAAGCCGAAAGAAUAGAAAAGGAAUAGAGAAUACUAAUGUUAGAGGGUCUAUUUUUUAUAAAUAAAAAGAAAACAAGAAUAGAGAAUGCUAGUAUUAGAGGGUUUUUUUUUAAUAAAUAAGAAGAAUAGUGAACACUAGUGUUAAAUGUUUUUUUUUAAGAAGAAGAAAAAAGCCGAAAGAAUAGAAAAGGAAUAGAAAACACUCACGUUAAAGGGUUAAUUUUUUUAAAUAAAUUAAAAUCAAACAAGUCAAAAGAAUAAAAAAAAUAACCCUUUAACACUAGUGUUUUCUAAGAAAUAAAAAUAAAACAAUUCAAAAGAAUAGAAAAAGAAUAGAGAAUGCUAAUAUUAGAUGGUUAAUUUUUUAAAAUAAAUAAAGAAUAGUGAACACUAGUGUAAAUUUUUUUUUUUUUAAGAAGAAAAAAGCCGUAAGAAUUGAAAACACUCGCGUUAAAGGGUUAUUUUUUUUAAAUAAAUAAAAAGCAAACAAGUCGAAAGAAUAGGAAAAGGAAUAGAAAACGCUAGUGUUAGAGGGUUAUUUUUUUUGUUCAAGAAAUACAUUUUUAAAAUAAAAAAGAAAAUAAGUCGAAAGAAUAGUGAACACUAGUGUUAGAGGGUCUAUUUGUUAAUAAAAAGAAAACAAGUUGAAAGAAUGGAGAAUGCUAGUGUUAGAGGAUUAAUAAAAAAAAUAAAUAAAUAAGAAUAGUGCACAUUAGUGUUAGAGGAUUAAUUAAAAAAUAUAUAAAUAAAAAGAAUAGCACACGCUAGUUUUAGAGGGUUAAUUUUUUUUAAAGAAAAAGAUAAGUCAAAAGAAUAGAGAUCACUAGUGUUAAAGGGUUCAUUUUUUUAAAGAAAUAAAAUUAAACAAACUGAAAAUAGAAAAAAAUAGAUAACUAGUGUUAAGUUUAGUAUAUAUAUAUUUUUUUUUAAAAAAAAUAAUAGAGAACACUAGUAUUAGAGGGUCAGUUAUGUUAAAUAAAAAGUGAACAAGUUGAAAGAAUAAAAAAAGAAUAGAGAAUGGCAGUGUUAGGGAGGUUUUUUUUUCUUCAAAAAAUAAAAGAAAACAAGUCAUAAGAAUAGAGAAUGCUAACAAUUAAUUAAAAAAGUAGUUAGAACAGAAAUAGAAUACAUACACACACACAUAUAUAUGUGUGAAAUGUUAGUGUUUCAGUUCCUUUUAUUAGUUUUAUUAGUAUUAGUUUUUUUAAUUACUUCAGUUACAGCGUUUUUUUUUGUUUGUUUGUUUUUUUUUACUUUAUGCAAGUGCAUAUAAUGAAAAUUAUAUAAUAUAUCAACUUAAUUCAGUAAUUAAGAAUUUCUAGCUUGACUAAUUACCAAAACUAAAGUAAAACAAAAGUUUUAGGUGCUAUUGAUUUUUAAAGUACAUCACCACCUGGUGGUGCUAUUGGAUCCCAUAAGUUUACUAUGGCAAAUGAAAAAUUACAUUUGGCAAAAUAAUCAAUAAAACACCAUAAAGUCAAAAGUCAGCAACGACCAUUCUAAAUCAUUUCCAAAUUUUCAAAAAUGCCAAUUCACUACAUUAAUAUUCCAACAAAAAGACCAACCAAAAUGUGAAUUCGUAAGGGGAAGCGGCUCAGUUGUUCAUACAAGUUCUCACAGACACAUAUGGUGACACGUGCCAGAGGGUUCUGUCCUUUCAUUAGCCUACAAAUGCCAUUUCCAUUGUGCACCGAUAAAGAGGAAAUAUAACGUGUCUGUUGUAUCAAAAAUGAGGAAAAACUGAGCAGCAGUGACAGGUUUAUGAUCUCCAAAAACAAACAUGUAGUUAUUGAGACUGUAGACUCAGUUAUAAACUGCAUCAUCAAUCACAAAAUGUUCAAAUAAUUGAAUUUAAAAUAGAAACAAGGAAGGAAAAGGGUUGUUUUUAGUGUUUCUUAAGAGUCACUACGAAAACGUACCAUGUAACGUCAGUUUCCACUAAAAUAAACUAUGCGUAAUGUCUCGACAGAAUUCAGUGUGGGAGCUCCAUAAAACAUUAUUGACAUAUAAACAACAGGAUGACAUUACUCUGAAUCAAGACCGCUGACUUCACCCUUAAAACAGAUUUUAAUACACCCACUGAACCACCUUCUUAUUUCGUAAGCAGCCAGGAAAUGGAAAUAUCUGUGUGACAAGGCACACAGGCAGGGGUUAUUGUGUACUGGUGCAUGACAUCAAGUAAAUGCAAUAUGAUAAUCAUAUCUGAACAUCCGUUUACAGGUUUGCGAAUCAUAUGCACCUUACAGCUAUAUCACAGCGGAUAUUUAGUGAUAGAAGAACAUUUUGAGAAAUAUUUCCAUGAACUAACCCCUAGAACAGGAGCAACUGAAAGCUCAAAACUCAUAGUUUCCAGUUGUGGGUGUUAAAUGCAAACUGUUCAGGGACUGAACCAGCCACUGUGUUGCAGGUUUCAUGAUCCACAUAACCAUUCACACAAAGUGACUUUUGAUUGAAAAAGCUGCAUGGUUCUCCCAAUACGGGGUAAUUUUAAAAUAAAACAUGCUUUAAAAAUCGUACAAUUUAACCAGGUUUGCGUUUAAAAAAAUCUAAACGUUAAAUCUAUAUUUAAAUAAUAAGUGAAAUAUUUAACUUGGGAAGCCUCAACUAAUGGUGAAUAAAACUCUGGACUAAAAUAUAAAACACAAAAAAAAAAUAGUUAUAAUGAAAUUACAGCUUUGGUGAAUAUAUGAUUUGUGUUGUAAACUUCCAAACGUUAUAAAAAAAAAUGUUUGCAAAGAAAGCCACCAUGAUAACACUUUGCUUGUGCUUAUGAAAAAUCAAAACUAAAAUUUAAGAAUCACAUGACGUGCAACAAGCAAGAUAAGGUACACCAGUCAAAAGAUUUUUGAACUAAGAUUUUUCAAGUUUUACUUAUUUGAUCCAAAGUACGGCAAAAAACUGUAAAAUUGUGUAAUAUUCGUACUAUAUAAAAUAACUGAUUUCUAUUUGAAUAUAUUUUAAAAUAUAAUUUAUUCUUGUGAUUUCAAAGCUGAAUUUUUAUCAUCAUUACUCCAGUCACAUGAUCCUUGAAAUCAUUCUAAUAUUCCAAUUUGCUGCUCAAAAACAUUUAUUAUUAUUAUUAUUCUGAAAACGGCUGAGUAGAAUUUUUUUCAGGUUUCUUUGAUGAAAAGAAAGAUCAGAGGAACAGCAUUUAUCUGAAAUAGAAAUCGUUUGUAACAUUAUAAAUGUCUUUAUCAUCAAUGCAUUACUUUUGAUCAAUUUAAAACAUCCUUGCUAAAUAAAAGUAUUAAUUUAUAUAAUUUCUACCCCUAAAAUAUAUAUAUAUAUAUAUAUGUACUGACUCUUUUGAAUGGUGUAAUGUUGCAAAAGCUUUUUAUUUCACAUAAAUGCUAAUCUUUGGAUCUUUCUAUUCAUCAGAGUGUCCUGAAAAUCUUUUAUUAUUGAUACUAAUAAAAUGUUUCUUGAACAGCAAAUCAGAAUGAUUUCUGAAAGAUCAUGUGACACUGAAGAAUGAGUAAUGAUGCUGAAAACUGUAUCUUUGAUUACAGGAGUAAAUUACAUUUUAAAAUAUAUUCAAAUAGAAAGCAGUUAUUUUAAAUAGUAAAAAUAUUUCACAAAAUUACUGCCUUCGCUGUGUUUUGGCGAGCAGAAGAGAAUUCUUAAAAAAAAAAAAAACAUACAAUCUUACUGUUCAAAAACUUUUGACUGGUAGUGUAGAUAAUGAGGCAAAUAUAUAAAAAAUAAUACUGUAGUUUUAAACUUGCGUUUUGUGUCCUGGAUCUCACCAAAUACUAAAAUGAACCUCAGAUUGAGCCCAGCAGUUCAUAAUGUCCAAUGCUUAUAGGCUAAACUGGCUGGAGGGGUGACGAUGAAUUAUAGUAUAUUAAGAAAUAACUUUUUUUUUUUUUCAUGAAGGGGCUGUACUUCCCCUAUUUGUAACAACAAUCAUUAACAGGAAGUCUAAGGGGAAGUAGAUGUCAUUCUUUCUUUUCAUACUGAGCUCAGGCGAAUCCGGGGUGUUGGGCUUUUUAGUUAUUUUUGAGAAUGUUGGUAGAAUUUUGAGUAAUUCUCCCGCUUCUACAUUUGUUGUGAUUCUGUCACUAAAGUAUUAUCUCUUUCUUCUUUGAUUUUUUUUUUGGGGUUUAGCACCAGUCUUCUUAUGUUCUCAGUAGGCAUAGUGUCAGGCAUAGUGUGAAUACUGCAACAAGUCACUGCGAGAGUGGCAACAUAUUUUUCAAUGCUUGAAGGUGUCUUAGAUUUGAUAUUCAUAAGUAAGUGCAGCACAUUUGGAAUAAUGAGUUCUGAUAUUCCAUCCAAAGCUGAGGUUCAAAGCUGGGAUCCACAACGGUUAGCAGACUUUCUGAAGAGGCGCAAUCUGACUGGGUGUGACAAGGUUGUGAUACGUUA